rnacentral:rRNA from 1 species
AACGAACGCUGGCGGCAUGCCUAACACAUGCAAGUCGAACGAGACCUUCGGGUCUAGUGGCGCAUGGGUGCGUAACGCGUGGGAACCUGCCCUUAGGUUCGGAAUAACUCCCCGAAAGGGGUGCUAAUACCGGAUAAUGUCUUCGGACCAAAGAUUUAUCGCCUUUGGAUGGGCCCGCGUUGGAUUAGCUAGUUGGUAGGGUAAAAGCCUACCAAGGCGACGAUCCAUAGCUGGUCUGAGAGGAUGAUCAGCCACACUGGGACUGAGACACGGCCCAGACUCCUACGGGAGGCAGCAGUGGGGAAUAUUGGACAAUGGGCGAAAGCCUGAUCCAGCAAUGCCGCGUGAGUGAUGAAGGCCUUAGGGUUGUAAAGCUCUUUUACCCGGGAUGAUAAUGACAGUACCGGGAGAAUAAGCUCCGGCUAACUCCGUGC